AGCAGCCGCGGUAAUUCCAGCUCCAAUAGCGUAUAUUAAAGUUGUUGCAGUUAAAAAGCUCGUAGUUGAAUUUCGGGGUUAGUAGAUUGGUCAUGCCUCUGGUAUGUACUGGUCUCACUGAUUCCUCCUUCCUGAUGAACCUUAAUGCCAUUAAUUUGGUGUUUUGGGGAAUUUGGACUGUUACUUUGAAAAAAUUAGAGUGUUUAAAGCAAGCUAACGCUUGAAUACAUUAGCAUGGAAUAAUGAAAUAGGACGUUCGAUCCUAUUUUGUUGGUUUCUAGGAUUGACGUAAUGAUUAAUAGGGAUAGUUGGGGGCAUUAGUAUUCAAUCGUCAGAGGUGAAAUUCUUGGAUUUAUUGAAGACUAACUACUGCGAAAGCAUUUGCCAAGGAUGUUUUCAUUAAUCAAGAACGAAAGUUAGGGGAUCGAAGACGAUCAGAUACCGUCGUAGUCUUAACCAUAAACUAUGCCGACUAGGGAUCGGAUGAUGUUAAUUUUUUAAUGACUCA
rnacentral:rRNA from 1 species